rnacentral:misc_RNA from 1 species
UCAAACUUGGUCAUUUAGAGGAAGUAAAAGUCGUAACAAGGUUUCCGUAGGUGAACCUGCGGAAGGAUCAUUGAAAAAGUAUAAUAUAUACUUUCAAUACCCAUGUGCACCUAUUGAACUUGGCAGAAUUUUUUUUUUUUUUUCGAAAAAAAAAAUAAUGUUUUGCCAAAAGAUUUAAUCCUUUCCUGAUUGUUUGACUGAUUUAUAAAAUAAAUAAAUUUAAUACAACUUUCAACAACGGAUCUCUUGGCUCUCGCAUCGAUGAAGAACGCAGC